CAAAGGUUUGGUCCUGACUUUUCCAUCUGCUAUAGAUAUAUUUAUACAUGCAAGUAUCCGCUAACCCGUGAGGAUGCCCUCAACUUCCAAGAAGAAUGAGAGGGGCUGGUAUCAGGCACACCAAUGGUAGCCCAUAACACCUUGCUUAGCCACACCCCCAAGGGUAUUCAGCAGUGAUUAAUAUUAAGCAAUAAGUGAAAACUUGACUUAGUAAUAACUAAUUAAGGUCGGUAAAAUUCGUGCCAGCCACCGCGGUUAUACGAAAGACCUAAGUUGAUGGAUUGCGGCGUAAAGGGUGGUUAGGGUAACCCCACACUAAAGUUAAACCCCCUCCCAGUCGUUUAAAGCUUAUGAGGAGGAGAAACCCAUCUACGAAAGUGACUUUACUUACCUGAUUCCACGAAAGCUAGGAUACAAACUGGGAUUAGAUACCCCACUAUGCCUAGUUGUAAACAAUGAUAUAUCAACAUCAAAAUAUCCGCCCGGGUAUUACGAACACUAGUUUAAAACCCAAAGGACCUGGCGGUGCUUAAAAUCCCUCUAGAGGAGCCUGUCCUGUAACCGAUAAUCCUCGUUAAACCUCACCCCCUUUUGCAAUAUCUGCCUAUAUACCGCCGUCGUCAGCUCACCCUACUAGGGUAUUAGAGUAAGCAAAAUUGGCAUAGCCUAAUACGUCAGGUCGAGGUGUAGUAUAUGAGGGGGGAAGAGAUGGGCUACAUUGACUAACCUAGUCCAUACGGAGAGUAAACUGAAACCAAUUACUUUGAAGGUGGAUUUAGAAGUAAGCAAAAAACAGAGUGUUUUGCUGAAUGCGGCUCUUAAGCGCGUACAUACCGCCCGUCACCUUCCCCUACACCCCUCGAACUCCAAUAUAUAAUCUGUAAGAGCAAUUUACAGGGGACGGAAGUCGUAACAUGGUAAGUGUACCGGAAGGUGCGCUUGGCUU
rnacentral:ncRNA from 1 species